UUUGGGCGCUGCCGGCCUUCCCCCGCAGUGCCCGGGCUGGCCCGGCGCCUGGCAAAACCUCUGAGGGAAAAGGCAAGCAACAACUGCGCUUCUUCUGCCCUUUCUUUAGCCAGGGACUGGAACACAGACAAAAUCGAGGGGCUCUUUGACCUGGGCAGGCUCCGAGCAUUUUUCAGCCUUCCCUAGCGGGGCAUUCUCACCCUCUGAAAAGCUGAAAGGCUUUAACAGCUGGAGACGCGCCUGCAGCUGUGCGAAUUAAUGUAGUUUCUUUUAGGAAACGAAGGGGAAGUUUUCCUGUUGUGAGCUUAAAUACCGAGUCUGCUCUGCUUUUUCCAUCAGGUGACGAAGCUUAUGGAAAAAAAGACCAAAGGCCUCGAGGGAUGUUAUUCUUGACCCCCCGGGGCAAACGGAGGUGUUCACCUGGUCAGCGUCAGGAGCCAUCCUACCUGAGGCCCUGGCUCCCUCUUUCCCUUCGGUUGCCACGUGUGUGCCG